UACAGAGGUCCCGAGCGUUGUUCGGAUUCACUGGGCGUAAAGCGAGUGUAGGCGGUUUGGUAAGUCGGAUGUGAAAGCCCUGGGCUCAACCCAGGAAGUGCAUUCGAUACUGUCAAGCUAGAGUAUCGGAGAGGUUGGUGGAAUUCUCGGUGUAGAGGUGAAAUGCGUAGAUAUGCGGAGGAACACCGAUGGCGAAGGCAAUCCCCUGGGCCUGCACUGACGCUCAUGCACGAAAGCGUGGGGAGCAAACAGG
rnacentral:rRNA from 1 species